rnacentral:rRNA from 1 species
AUUGAACGCUGGCGGCAUGCCUUACACAUGCAAGUCGAACGGUAACAGGUCUUCGGAUGCUGACGAGUGGCGAACGGGUGAGUAAUACAUCGGAACGUGCCCGAUCGUGGGGGAUAACGAAGCGAAAGCUUUGCUAAUACCGCAUACGACCUACGGAUGAAAGCAGGGGACCGCAAGGCCUUGCGCGAACGGAGCGGCCGAUGGCAGAUUAGGUAGUUGGUGGGAUAAAAGCUUACCAAGCCGACGAUCUGUAGCUGGUCUGAGAGGACGACCAGCCACACUGGGACUGAGACACGGCCCAGACUCCUACGGGAGGCAGCAGUGGGGAAUUUUGGACAAUGGGCGAAAGCCUGAUCCAGCCAUGCCGCGUGCAGGAUGAAGGCCUUCGGGUUGUAAACUGCUUUUGUACGGAACGAAAAGACUCUGGUUAAUACCUGGGGUCCAUGACGGUACCGUAAGAAUAAGCACCGGCUAACUACGUG